rnacentral:lncRNA from 12 species
UUCUCUUCUUGGAGGGUGUUUCCUGGUUUGCCAUGCUUCCCGGCCCUCACACUGUCUUUUCUGCCCCAGCCACCCUCGUAGGGACUCCGUAGAGUGAGAGUGGGGAAGGUGCACACAGGCUCAACUCGGACUAAAUGUCACUGGCUUGGUGGCAUCUCCUCACUUAACCCAUCAGCGGGAGGUCUGAGCUCACUCCUAGGAGCUCUGGACCUUUCAGAGGAAGCCCCAGGAUUUCAGAGGUUGGAAGAGAACUCCUGUCUCGUCCAGGUGCCCCCCACUCAUUGCUCAUCCCCUGCUAUCUUCCCUGGACGUAGGAGGAAUCACCUGGAAGACGUCUGGAUGAGAUGCCCGGGCCCCAACCUCUAGAUGGGGCUGGGGAAGUCUGGAGUUGGCCAGGCCUCCCAAAGGUCAAGAAUACAGAUGAGGACCCCAGGAUCAGAAGAGCAGUGACUCACCCCCGGUGAGUAGUGAAGGAGGCUGGUCCCCCCGUGUUCUUGCCCUGUGCUUCCUCAGGUCCUCUGGGACAGCUCAGGGGAGGUCCUGUCUCCACCACACCAGCCUGUCCCCAUCAGCCCUCAGCCCUGCUGGUUCCCAGGCCCCCCUUCUCUCUGCUGCUCAUCUCCUUCCCUCCUUCCGCAUUGGGCACCCUCUUCCCACCUGGCCUCAGCCUCAGCCACUGCAGGACAAGAAGAAGGUCCCCAUCCCUACAGCAGCCUUUACCCAUUGCCUUCUGGUGGCUCACCACAGACGGAGACUGGGAGAAAGGGGCUCUGACUCUGUAUCCCCAGAGCCGGGCCUGGCCUGGUCACGGGAAAGGAGCUCAGGACUCGUUGGGACAGUCUAUGGAGGGAUAAUCUCACAGGCCAUCCAGUUUCCUGUGACAAGAGAGAGGCUUUGUUCCGGAGACAGCGGCGGGCAGGCAGCUCAUGUUGGAAGGCUUUGCAUGAUCUUCUGUAACCCCGCCAAGCCACCUUCUCACUGGAGCUGGACUCAUGAGAAAGAGGGGGGCAGGUGGAGAGGAGACAGACGUCUACUGUGAUCCCAGCUAUGCCAGGUGUAAAAGGCCUUACAAAUAUUUUCCAAGUGAUUGAUUCCAAGGAAAGGUGCUGGUGAGAAAGAAAAAGAGGAGUCCCUUGCCAGGCCUACAGGAUCUGCUUUGUAAUUCAUACACGUAAUGGCAUGGGGCUCAGUGCCCCCAUGGCACCUGCUCCUUCCGCACACCCCUACCCACAUCUGUCCCUAAGAGGCACUCUCUGGAGCCCUCCUCCUCUGCUUCCCAGGGGCCUCAGAGUGUUUCUGCUCCGACUCUACCCAGAACAUCUGGAUUCCAGGACCUAGAAAACUCACACCCUGGCCCUUCUUUGUCUUCUUCCCAACCAGCAUUCCCUGAAAGCCACACCAUGGCUUCUAACACCUCCCACACCCCUUCUUUCAGACAACUGAGGCAACUGUGGCUCAUAGUAAUUAAGGAACUUACCCAAGAUCGAUCCAAGCAGCAGAACCAGAAACCCCAUCCAGGCCUGUCUGAGUUCUCACCCCACCUCCAUGAGAACAGAGACCCAUACACGGGUCUGCUCCGACCCAAUUUCAUCCACUCCUCCUCCAUCCACUCCUUCUGCUGCCCCAGGAGCAAGGCAAGGGUUGGGAACGGGGCUAGAAGUCACCUUAAAUCUUUUCCAGAGCAAGAUGAGGCAAGCAAACUCUAAGUGUCGAGGUGAGAAAAACUGAGAAAUUUUUCAUGAGGUCUGAGAAAUGUAUUGGGGUUCAUUUCCAUGGGUUAAAUAAUUCUGGUCAGAAGGGUGACUUUUUUUUUUUUUUUUUACCUCUCAACCUUUUACUGUGAAAAAAAAAGUGUACAUAUAGGAAAGCUCAAAGAAUAAAACAAUAAGAGCUCCUAGGCCCCA